rnacentral:rRNA from 1 species
UACGAAGGGGGCUAGCGUUGCUCGGAAUCACUGGGCGUAAAGCGCACGUAGGCGGCUUCUAAGUCAGGGGUGAAAUCCUGGAGCUCAACUCCAGAACUGCCUUUGAUACUGGAGAGCUCGAGUCCGGAAGAGGUGAGUGGAACUCCGAGUGUAGAGGUGAAAUUCGUAGAUAUUCGGAAGAACACCAGUGGCGAAGGCGGCACACUGUCCGGUACUGACGCUGAUGUGCGAAAGCGUGGGGAGCAAACAGG